ACCAACAAAGUGCUUAUGGAGUUUCACCCAUAAUGUUCAUAAGGAAACAAAAUUAAAGAGCCAUUCAACACUGAAAGAAAUUUCUCAUGCAGGGAUAGCUGACAAUUCCCAAGGGAUUAACUUAGAUACCAAGUCCCCCUGCUGAGGAACAUCUCAAUCUCAUAGUCUCUGCCAUUCCAAUCCUGGAAGUUGGAGCUGUCCACAGUUGACUAAUUCUUUGCCAGACAUGUGGAUGAGCUGUAGAUAUCCAAGGAAUCAGAAUCCCAAUCCACAGAUGGCAGAAGAUCAAAAUCCAACAAGAUCAUCUUAGAUCAUCUGCUCCAAAUCUUCUUCCAACUCUCUAGGUGAUCUCAAUAUAUGUAUCUUAAGGGCACUAACGAUGAAGUAGUCACAGUCCCCAUGAACGUUAAGAUGCAUGCAUCAAUUCCAGGGCCUGCUUCCAUGGUUGCAUCACCAUGAGUAGACUCGAGGACAGCUCCUGUCGGCUUAGCUUCUCUGUCAAGUGAGCUCAGUUGACCAUUGCCGAAGCUUUAAGCAGUGGGACUGUUUCCCAUAUUUACUUGAUGAUACAACAUGAACUUUGGCACAUAAGCCUUAGGCAAUCGUGGAUUUCUUGAUAUGAGUAUAUGAUUACCGAUGCUAUAGGGGAGGAUAUGAUGCCUUCUGAUUUGCUUCA